rnacentral:rRNA from 1 species
CCUACGGGAGGCAGCAGUGAGGAAUAUUGGUCAAUGGACGAGAGUCUGAACCAGCCAAGUAGCGUGAAGGAUGACUGCCCUAUGGGUUGUAAACUUCUUUUAUAUGGGAAUAAAACGUUCCACGUGUGGGAUUUUGUAUGUACCAUAUGAAUAAGGAUCGGCUAACUCCGUGCCAGCAGCCGCGGUAAUACGGAGGAUCCGAGCGUUAUCCGGAUUUAUUGGGUUUAAAGGGAGCGUAGGUGGAUUGUUAAGUCAGUUGUGAAAGUUUGCGGCUCAACCGUAAAAUUGCAGUUGAAACUGGCAGUCUUGAGUACAGUAGAGGUGGGCGGAAUUCGUGGUGUAGCGGUGAAAUGCUUAGAUAUCACGAAGAACUCCGAUUGCGAAGGCAGUUCACUGGACUGCAACUGACACUGAGGCUCGAAAGUGUGGGUAUCAAACAGGAUGAGAUACCCCUGUAGUC